UACGUAGGUGGCAAGCGUUGUCCGGAUUUACUGGGCGUAAAGAGCGCGCAGGCGGCUGGUCAAGUCCGAUGUGAAAUCUCCCGGCUUAACUGGGAAACUGCAUCGGAAACUGAUCGGCUUGAAGGUGGGAGAGGGUAGUGGAAUUCCCGGUGUAGUGGUGAAAUGCGCAGAUAUCAGGAGGAACACCGGUGGCGAAGGCGGAUCUCUGGGCCGAUACUGACGCUGAGGAGCGAAAGCGUGGGGAGCGAACAGG
rnacentral:rRNA from 1 species